rnacentral:rRNA from 1 species
GACGAACGCUGGCGGCGUGCUUAACACAUGCAAGUCGAACGGAAAGGCCCUGCUUUUGUGGGGUGCUCGAGUGGCGAACGGGUGCGUAACACGUGAGUAACCUGCCCUUGACUUUGGGAUAACUUCAGGAAACUGGGGCUAAUACCGGAUAGGAGCUCCUGCUGCAUGGUGGGGGUUGGCACGUUUCGGCGGUUGGGGAUGGACUCGCGGCUUAUCAGCUUGUUGGUGGGGUAGUGGCUUACCAAGGCUUUGACGGGUAGCCGGCCUGAGAGGGUGACCGGCCACAUUGGGACUGAGAUACGGCCCAGACUCCUACGGGAGGCAGCAGUGGGGAAUAUUGCACAAUGGGCGGAAGCCUGAUGCAGCAACGCCGCGUGCGGGAUGACGGCCUUCGGGUUGUAAACCGCUUUCGCCUGUGACGAAGCGUGAGUGACGGUAAUGGGUAAAGAAGCACCGGCUAACUACGUG